AAUGAACGCUGGCGGCGUGCCUAACACAUGCAAGUCGAACGAGAAACUUCCCGCUUGCGGGGAGGAGUAAAGUGGCGCACGGGUGAGUAACGCGUGGGUAACCUGCCCUUGAAUUUGGGAUAACUCCGUGAAAACGGUGCUAAUACCGGAUAUUAUUCCGGGAACUAUGGUUUCCGGGAUGAAAGGUGACCUCUCUAUAGAAGUUGCCGUUCAAGGAGGGGCUCGCGUACCAUUAGCUUGUUGGUGGGGUAAUGGCCUACCAAGGCUACGAUGGUUAGCUGGUCUGAGAGGAUGAUCAGCCACACUGGAACUGAAACACGGUCCAGACUCCUACGGGAGGCAGCAGUGAGGAAUUUUGCGCAAUGGGGGAAACCCUGACGCAGCAACGCCGCGUGAGUGAAGAAGGCUUUCGGGUCGUAAAGCUCUGUCAAGUGGGAAAAAAUGCUUCAGGUAAAUAGCCUGAGGAGCUGAUGGUACCACUAAAGGAAGCACCGGCUAACUCCGUGCCAGCAGCCGCGGUAAUACGGAGGGUGCUAGCGUUGUUCGGAAUUAUUGGGCGUAAAGAGCGUGUAGGCGGCUUGGUAAGUCAGAUGUGAAAGCCCUGGGCUCAACUCAGGAAGUGCAUUUGAAACUACCUUGCUUGAGUAUGGGAGAGGAGAGUGGAAUUCCCAGUGUAGAGGUGAAAUUCGUAGAUAUUGGGAGGAACACCCGUGGCGAAGGCGACUCUCUGGACCAAUACUGACGCUGAGACGCGAAAGCGUGGGGAGCAAACAGGAUUAGAUACCCUGGUAGUCCACGCCGUAGACGAUGAGAACUAGGUGUAGCGGGUAUUGACCCCUGCUGUGCCGCAGCUAACGCAUUAAGUUCUCCGCCUGGGGAGUACGGCCGCAAGGCUA
rnacentral:rRNA from 1 species